rnacentral:rRNA from 1 species
CAAGUAGGCGGUUUGAUAAGUGAGAGGUGAAAUCUUCCGACUUAAUCGGGAAACUGCCUUUCAAACUAUCAAACUUGAGGAAGGAAGAGGGAAAUGGAAUUCUCGGUGUAAGGGUGAAAUCUGUAGAUAUCGAGAAGAACGCCAGCGGCGAAGGCGAUUUCCUGGUCCUUUCCUGACGCUGAAUUGCGAAAGCUAGGGGAGCAAACAGGAUUAGAUACCCUGGUAGUCC